rnacentral:lncRNA from 1 species
GGGACCGCCCUUUCUGGGGAGCUGGGAGUGGGCCAGGGUCCAGCCUGGCUGGAGGCUCCUGCUAUGGGGAGAGGCCAGAGCCUUUCCGAGCCCACCUGCCCGACAGCCCUGGUGCCAGCAGGCCCUUUCUGGAUGUCACAGUGUUCUUGUCUCUAAGAUUGAUCGCAGAGUUGAACAACAGAGAAUGUGUGCACAGUGCCAGGCACAGGUGUGGUCAAGAUUCACCUGGGAGAGGAAGUGGGCAGGGGCAGAGGAGUGUGCCCACCUGAGCUGAAAGGCUGCAUGGCAGGUGACCAUUAUCACCAGUGUCGCCAGCCAGGUCACCUCUCUGAAUUUUGUGGUUGCAACCUCCAUGAUUCCCUAGAGCUGUUUUUACCCAGAACUAAUGAAAAAUUCUGCACAUUAA